GGACGAGCAGAACUGCACUCUGGAAAUUGAAAGCUGAGACUCCUGGGUGUUACAAGUAAGAAUGGACUUAUUGCCCCACUUACUCAUUCUCAAGAAGCC
rnacentral:sRNA from 1 species